ACGCUCGACACCUACGAGAGGCAGCAGUGGGGAAUAUUGCACAAUGGGGGAAACCCUGAUGCAGCGACGCCGCGUGGAGGAAGAAGGUCUUCGGAUUGUAAACUCCUGUUGUUGGGGAAAAAGAGGAUGGUACCCAACAAGGAAGUGACGGCUAACUACGUGCCAGUAGCCGCGGUAAUCUGAGCGGGCUGGCAAGGC
rnacentral:rRNA from 1 species